GCAUUCGCAGCGGGACCUUGGGGGGCGCCGUGGGAGUGCCCUGGCGCCGCGCCGCGCCGGGGCCAUCCGGACCCCUAGGCCUAUUCCCGCCGCCUGCUCGGGUGGUGGUGGGGGGAGGGAAAAGACAAACUGUUCUUUGUUUGCCUUUGGAAAGCCGGCCUGCCUUUGUUCCGGGCGGGUUCGUUGGUUUCCAGGCGUUGAAGGCUGGGAGAGGAGGGGGUAGGGAUCCCGGCCCAGCGGUCCCAGACGUUUUCGGAACUACAGACCCUGGGCUCAGCGCGGGGUCGCCGAGGGGACGCGGGCCACCAGCCCUAUCCUCCGGAGCUCAGGCGCAGUCCAGGCUUCCCAGGCCCCGGGGCUGCCCUCCCGGAGCCUGACCUCCCCUGGGGGUGGGGGUGCUGCCCUGGGGCCCCCUUCCUGGGUUUCCUGGUCCUUCUGUCCACGUAUCUCACUCCCCCAUUGAACCGGCAAAGAGCACAAAGCAGAAAAGACAUCCUUGCCGCCCCAGGCUCCCCCAUCUAGCAGAAAACUCUGAAACAGUCCUCACCCCUCCCAAAGUUGAGAGAAACGUGGAUGUUCCAUAAACAAAACCCGCCCUCCAGCAGCAUGUUUAAGUGGAGGCGACCUCGCGUGGGUGUGCGUGUGUGUAUGUGUGCGUGUCUGCGUGCGCCGGGGACGCGCGAUCAUCUCUCAGAUGUGAGAAAGGAACCCCGCCCUGUAGGGGAAGCUUGUCUGGUGUCCAGAA
rnacentral:lncRNA from 1 species